GUUCGUGUUUCUCCCAAGGUCUGGUCUUGGUCAUGUCAAUUCUGCCGUUCAUUGACCUCGUGUUCCUGCAUCCUCUGCUUAUUUGCCGAUCAGGAGUAAGGAAGUGGGAAUCCCGUCUUUAACGGCCUCCCUGAUAAAGACGGCAGAUGUGCUCCCACGUGUUCAGCGGCUGCCGAGAGGGAGGAGAAUCGACGUACAUUUUGUGUCCAUCUUCGCUUAGCAACGAGCUUGUCAACAAGUCCUGAUUGGUGAAAAACCCACAAUGAAUUCCAGAUUUUCCUGAUUGAUGAUAUAACUGGAAAUGUUUGUACUUACCGGUACUUCCUGGGCAUGAGCGUUUGGUGAGAAGAGCUCUUGGCCUUCCCACUGCAUAUAUGGACUCCUUUCACACGGUGACUCCACCUUGGAAGUCAAAACACAAAAGGCGGGUGCUCGAUGGGGCACUCCAUUGGCUCCUGCUUAAUAGAAUCCACCAUCUGCUGAUCUAGAGAAGGCUGAAGAGCACGCAGAAAAAAUUUCAAAUAAG